GGCGCGAAGUGAGCUGGCGUGCGGCGCACGGGCUGAGGAGCCGGCGCGGGGAGUUUGGACCGCGGUUCCUCCAGCUCGGAGCCUGGGGGAGAGGAUCAUGGCUGCUGUUCCUCAAAAUAACCUACAGGAGCAACUGGAGCGUCAUUCAGCCAGAAAACUUAACAACAAAUUAAAUCUUUCAAAACCAAAACCUUCCUGUUUCACUUUUAAAAAGAAAGUAUCUUCAGCCAACAAUGUGUCUGUGACUUGUGUGUCAGUAGCAAAGACACCUGUGUUAAGUGAUAAAGAUGUUAAUGUUACUGAGGACUUUUCCUUCAGUGAAACUUUACCUCAUACAUUGAAUCCGCAAACAAGGAUCAGUGACUGUAAAAAUGCUGCUGCAGGACAGCAAACCAAGAGAAUUGGUUCAAAACCGUUACUGCCAGCUUCGUUGCAGAUCCCGAGGGAAGUUUCACUUGCUACGCAGAGCACCCCCAGUAUAAAGGAAUUCCGUGAUGCUACUUUCAAGAAAUUAGAAUAUAGCUCUUCAUCAGAUUGGGAUGAUAUGGAUGACUUUGAUACUUCUGGAAAUUCAAAAGCAUUUGUUACACCACUCAAAAAUCACUCUGUAAGAGUAAGCACUGCUCAGAAAAAGUCUAAGAGAAACUUUUUUAAAGCACAGCUUCAAAAGGAAGAUACAGUAAAGGUUGACUUGACGACUCCUUCCUCUGAAUGCAAGCAAGUAGAUUUGACUAAGGAGCAGAAGGCGGACUCCGAAUGGUUAAGUAGCUUAAGUAGCGGUGUGAUUUGUAUUGAUGAUGGCCCCAGUUCCGAAGAGCUUACAAAUGAAGACACUCAGAAUAGCCACUCUUUAAAAACUCAUUUGGGAGAGGAAAGAGAUAAUAGUGAAAAGGAAAAACACUUGGAAGAAACUGAAUUCCAUUCACUGGAGAAAUCUCCCUGUGUUCAACUUGAUGAAGAUGAUUAUGAUAUCGAUUUUAUUCCACCUUCUCCAGAAGAAAUAACGACUUCUGCCUCUUCUUCCUCUCUAAAAUGCUUUAGUAUGUUAAAGGAGCUUGACACCUGUGACAGGAAGAAGGAUGGCCUAAGCACACCAGAGGACUUGUCAAAACCAGAGAAAAUGCCUACUCAGCAAUCUAACCAAGAAACCAGCAGAGACUGUGACGGUAGACAGGUAAGUUUGCAGCAGCAGCUUAUUCAGGUGAUGGACCGCAUUUGUAACUUAGUUGAUGCUAUUCCUGAUGAUGAGCUGAAAGCUUUGGAUUGCGGGGACAAACUGCUUCAGCAGCGAAACAUAAGAAGGAAACUCCUAGCCGAAGCAGAUUUUAACCCAAGUGAUGCCAGUGUCCUUGGCUCAAUGUGGAGGUACAGGCCUGAUGCCCUUGGUAACCCCAUGGAGGACAUGGCAUCUGUUUCCUUGCCGUAUUCGUUUUCAAAGGGCGAUUCCUGCCCUACAGGGAGUUCUGAUGAGUUACAUUUUCCGCCCAUUCCCUCAAAUUCCAUUUCUUCUCGGGGAUGUUUGGUGACUCCCCCAGGAAAGACAGAGUUCUCAGUCACCAAGAAGAACCUCUUUGAAAGACCAUUAUUCAAUUCCCAUUUACAGAAGUCCUUUGUGAGUAGCAACUGGGCUGAAACACCAAGAACAGAAAAAAGAAAUGAAAGCCCUCAUUUUCCAGGAAGUGUUCUUACAAGCACUGCUGUGAAAGAUCAGAAUAAACAUACUGCUUCAACAGAUGACUUAGAAAGGGAAAUCCAGGCCUCCUGUGAGAUUGAUAAUUUUGACAUAGAUGACUUAGAUGAUGAUGACGAGUGGGAAAAUAUAAUGCAUGGCUUAGCAACGAACAAGUCUUCCACAGCUGCCUAUCCACCUAUUAAGGAAGGUCGGCCCAUUAAAUCAGUAUCAAAAAGAAUUUCUCCAACCAAGACAGACUGCCUCCCUGUGACACCUGCUGCUCAAAAUAAAAACUUCUCAGGGUCAAUUCAAAAAUACCAGUCGACGCAAAAUUUACCAUCCAGAAAUCUGAAUCACGAGCAUUUCCAAAGCCUUAAUUUUCCUCAUACAAAAGAAAUGAUGAAGAUUUUUCAUAAAAAAUUUGGUCUCCAUCAUUUUCGAACUAAUCAGCUAGAGGCGAUCAAUGCUGCACUGCUUGGUGAAGACUGUUUUAUCUUAAUGCCCACUGGAGGUGGUAAAAGCCUGUGUUACCAGCUCCCUGCCUGUGUUUCUCCUGGGGUCACGAUUGUCAUUUCUCCCUUGAGGUCACUUAUCGUAGAUCAAGUCCAAAAGCUGACUUCAUUGGAUAUUCCAGCUACAUAUCUGACAGGUGAUAAGACCGACUCAGAAGCUACAAGUAUUUACCUCCAGUUAUCAAAAAAAGACCCAAUUAUAAAACUUCUGUAUGUUACUCCAGAGAAGGUCUGUGCAAGUAACAGGCUGAUUUCUACCCUGGAGAAUCUGUAUGAGAGGAAGCUCUUGGCAAGGUUUGUUAUUGAUGAAGCACAUUGUGUCAGUCAGUGGGGACAUGAUUUUCGUCAGGAUUACAAAAGAAUGAAUAUGCUUCGCCAGAAGUUUCCCUCUGUUCCAGUGAUGGCUCUCACUGCCACAGCUAACCCCAGGGUGCAGAAGGACAUCCUCACUCAGCUGAAGAUUCUCAGGCCUCAGGUAUUUACCAUGAGCUUUAACAGACAUAAUCUGAAAUACUAUGUGCUACCAAAGAAGCCUAAAAAGGUAGCAUUUGAUUGCUUAGAAUGGAUCAGGAAGCAUCACCCACAUGAUUCAGGGAUAAUUUACUGCCUCUCCAGGCGAGAAUGUGACACGAUGGCUGACACCUUACAGAAGAAUGGUCUCCGUGCUCUUGCUUAUCAUGCUGGCCUCAGUGAUUCUGCCAGAGACGAAGUACAACACAAGUGGAUCAACCAGGAUGGCUGUCAGGUUAUCUGUGCGACAAUUGCAUUUGGAAUGGGGAUUGACAAACCCGACGUGCGAUUUGUGAUCCACGCGUCUCUCCCUAAAUCCGUGGAGGGUUACUACCAAGAAUCUGGCCGAGCUGGAAGAGACGGGGAGAUAUCUCACUGCCUGCUUUUCUAUACCUAUUAUGAUGUGACCAGACUGAAGAGACUUAUACUGAUGGAAAAAGAUGGAAACCAUCAUACAAGAGAAACUCACUUUAAUAAUUUGUAUAGUAUGGUACAUUACUGUGAAAAUAUAACAGAAUGCAGGCGAAUACAGCUUUUGGCUUACUUUGGUGAAAUUGGAUUUAAUCCUGAUUUUUGUAAGAAACACCCAGAAGUUUCUUGUGAUAAUUGCUGUCAGUCAAAGGAUUAUAAGACACGAGAUGUGACUGACGAUGUGAAAAAUAUUGUAAGAUUUGUGCAAGAACAUAGUUCAUCACAAGGAAUGGGAAAUAGGAACCAUGUGGGUCCCUGUGGGAGGUUCACCAUGAAUAUGCUGGUUGACAUUUUCUUGGGGAGUAAGAGUGCAAAAAUUCAAUCGGGGAUAUUUGGAAAGGGGUCUACAUAUUCACGACACAAUGCUGAGAGACUUUUUAAAAAGCUGAUACUCGACAAGAUCUUAGAUGAAGACUUAUUUAUCAAUGCCAAUGACCAACCCAUUGCCUAUGUGAUGCUCGGAAGUAAAGCGCAAGUGUUACUAAAUGGGCAUUUAAAGGUAGACUUUAUGGAGACGGAAAAUUCCAGCCGUAUCAAAAAACAAAAAGCCUUAGUGACGAAGGUUUCCCAGAGGGAAGAGGUUGUUAAGAAAUGUCUUGGAGAACUUACGGAAGUGUGCAAAUCUCUGGGGAAAGUUUUUGGUGUCCAUUACUUCAAUAUCUUCAACACUGUCACUCUCAAGAAGCUUGCAGAGUCGCUAUCUUCUGAUCCUGAGGUUUUGCUUCAAAUUGAUGGUGUUACUGAAGAUAAACUGGAAAAAUACGGUGCCGAAGUGAUUCCAAUAUUACAGAAAUACGCCGAGUGGACACUGCCAGUUGAGGACAGCUCCCCACAGAUGAGCCCAUCCAGCAGCAGAAGCGCUAGGAAUGGCUCGGAGGAGUGUGAUGAGGAAACACCUAUAUCCUCUCACUACUUUGCAAAUAAAACCAAAAAUGAAAGAAAGCGGAAAAGGAUGCCAGCCUGCCAAAGGUCUAAAAGGAGAAGAACUGGUGUUGGUGAUUUCAAGACAAAAGGUACUUGCUGUACUAGUAUUGCCGCAGAUCUGCAGGCCUCCACACUCCCUGCCAUUCAUCCAAACCUGGGAAAGCCACCCUCCCAGUCUGCAGGGCAGCAGGGAAGCGUCCACAACAGGAAAAUCAAAAGCUCAGGCAAGCCAGGCUCCGAGAGACUGCGCAAAUGGCUUCCAUCCUUCCUUUCCUACACGUGCCUACCCCCGGGCUGGGACUCACCUGCUGUGGGCGCUGUUAGCACGCCCAGGGGGAACAAAGGUAGUAUUGUCAGGUGCUGGGUGAUGAUCUGGGCAGCGUUCGUAUUUCUUCAUCAUUGCACUGCUUCACACAGCCCCUCUCCCUGUCUUCUGCAAGGACACUCUCUGUCCUCACCAGGAAAGUAAGGUCUGGCAGGAUCGUGACCAUUCCAGCAGCCUGGAUGCCCGCCUCCCAGAUAACUGCAUAUUGUCACAGAGAUGCUUACAGAAAAGGGAAAGAAGUCCAUAGUAAAUUUCUGCAAGCUGUUGUGUUUUUUUCUUUUGCAGUUUUUUGUAACUCUCUUCCUUCUGGGUAAUAAAAAAAUUUUUUUUGAGUGAAGGAAGAAAGGGGAAGGCAAAUGUUACCAAAUUGUCACUUUCUUGUUAAGUCCAUAAACAAACAUCUUGCAUGUGCUAAUUCUUCUGCCAGGAUACAGAAAUUAAAAGCAUUAGUAAAUGUUAGUUUAAUUUUGUGGUUUUUAAUGCUCAAGUGACCAGCAGAUGUUCUUCGGUGGGGACAUUUUAUUUUCUUCAUUUAUUCCUUCGUUUUGGGAAAUAGUCAUUUCCUCAGGAGCCCACACAGAGUAAGAGUCCUUAAAAGGCAUGGGGCCCAGUCCCCUGGAGGUUAUGAUGAGGAAACUAAGGCCUGGCCUGGGGAGGGAACUUCUGCAAGGUUGAACCAGCCUGGUCUCAAUCUUACAGCUACGACGUGGACAGUGGCUCGCCCACACCUGCCCAGAGCAUUAUUUUUUUUUAAUCCUAACCCGAGGAUAUUUUUCCAUUGAUUUUUUUAGAGAGAGUGGAAGAGAGAGGGAAAGACAGAAAGAAAUAUCAAUGUGAGAGAAAUACAUUGACUGGUUGCCUCCUGCACCAAACUGCAGGAGCCCAGACCAGGGUCCGGCCGGAGAGGACCUGCAACUGAGGAGAUCCACCACGUGCAGAAGGAUAUCUCCUAAAACUAAAUCCUCCAGCAUCCCCGGGCCAACAUCAACUGCACGUGGUUCUCAGGCGGCAGCAGGAAUCAGUAGAAAAUUGGGGAUUAUGGCUCCACCAAAGCC